AUCCAGCUGACGAGUCCAUAAUAGGACAAAACAUACAUCCUAGAU
rnacentral:hammerhead_ribozyme from 1 species